rnacentral:tRNA from 3 species
GGCCCUUUGGUGCAGUGGAUAGCACAUUGGACUUCUAAUCCAAAGGUCGCGGGUUCGAUCCCCGCAAGGGCUCA